rnacentral:lncRNA from 1 species
GCCGCAGCAGCUGCUGCUCCCAAGCGGGCGUUCCGGCGCUGCUCCUACCGACGCUUCUCUCUAUUUUUUCUUUAUUUUUGCUGAAAUCUUGGCCUAAUUGAUGGUACAUGCAAACCAUGCUUUCUAAAUAUAAUUAGGACAUGGAUCUGCUCUGAAAAUUCCAUUGAUUUAAUUCCCCUCCGUAUAUGAUUUUAGUUUUACCAUUUUCCUGGAUCUAUUUUUUGACCCGAUUGGACUUGAUCAUAUGACUAAUCGAUGAUGGUUGAAACAGGCCCAAUAUAUGUGGCAUGGCAUUGCAUAGAUGCGUG